AAUGUAGCGGUGAAAUGCUUAGAUAUUACACAGAACACCAAUUGCGAAGGCAGCUCACUAAGCUGUUACUGACGCUGAGGCACGAAAGCGUGGGGAGCAAACAGGAUUAGAUACCCUGGUAGUCCACGCUGUAAACGAUGAUCACUCGUUGUUGGCGAUACACUGUCAGCGACUGAGCGAAAGCAAUAAGUGAUCCACCUGGGGAGUACGGUCGCAAGACUGAAACUCAAAGGAAUUGACGGGGGGCCCGCACAAGCGGAGGAACAUGUGGUUUAAUUCGAUGAUACGCGAGGAACCUUACCUGGGCUUGAAAGGGGAUCGACCUCCCGGGAAACCGGGAUUCUCUUCGGAGCGAUCUCCUAGGUGCUGCAUGGUUGUCGUCAGCUCGUGCCGUGAGGUGUCGGGUUAAGUCCCAUAACGAGCGCAACCCCUAUUGUUAGUUGCCAGCGGGUAAUGCCGGGAACUCUAACGAAACUGCCGGUGUAAACCGUGAGGAAGGUGGGGAUGACGUCAAAUCAGCACGGCCCUUAUGUCCAGGGCUACACACGUGUUACAAUGGCCGGUACAAAGGGCAGCUACUUGGUGACAAGAUGCUAAUCUCGAAAACCGGUCUCAGUUCGGAUCGAAGUCUGCAACUCGACUUCGUGAAGCUGGAUUCGCUAGUAAUCGCGCAUCAGCAAUGGCGCGGUGAAUACGUUCCCGGGCCUUGUACACACCGCCCGUCAAGCCAUGGAAGCUGGGAGUACCUGAAGUCUGCAACCGUAAGGAGCGGCCUAGGGUAAAACCAGUGACUGGGGCUAAGUCGUAACAAGGUAAAGG
rnacentral:rRNA from 1 species